UACGUAGGGUGCAAGCGUUGUCCGGAAUUAUUGGGCGUAAAGAGCUCGUAGGCGGUCUGUCACGUCGGCUGUGAAAACCCGGGGGCUCAACCCCGGGCCUGCAGUCGAUACGGGCAGACUAGAGUGCGGUAGGGGAGACUGGAAUUCCUGGUGUAGCGGUGAAAUGCGCAGAUAUCAGGAGGAACACCGGUGGCGAAGGCGGGUCUCUGGGCCGUAACUGACGCUGAGGAGCGAAAGCGUGGGGAGCGAACAGG
rnacentral:rRNA from 1 species